CCUACGGGAGGCAGCAGUGGGGAAUAUUGCACAAUGGGGGAAACCCUGAUGCAGCGACGCCGCGUGAGUGAAGAAGUAUCUCGGUACGUAAAGCUCUAUCAGCAGGGAAGAAAAUGACGGUACCUGACUAAGAAGCGCCUGAUAACAACGUGACAGCAGCCGCGGUAAUACGUAGGGGGAAAGCGUUAUCCGGAUUAACUGGGUGUAAAGGGAACGUAGACGGCAGCACAAGUCUGGAGUGAAAUCCCGGGGCUUAACCCCGGAACUGCAUUGGAUACUGGGCGGCUGGAGUGCAGUAGGGGUGGGCAGAAUUCCUAGUGUAGCGGUGAAAUGCGUAGAUAUUAGGAGGAAUACCGGUGGCGAAGGCGGCUUACUGGA
rnacentral:rRNA from 1 species